rnacentral:rRNA from 1 species
CCUACCGAUUGAAUGAUCCGAUGAAAUGCUUGGACUGCUCGACUGCAGCUGCGCAAGCGGCAGUGGUUGGGUGGGAAGAGUAGUAAAUCUUAUCAUUUAGAGGAAGGAGAAGUCGUAACAAGGUU